AUCGUUCAAUUUGCUUUAAGCAAAUCGGAAGUAGGUUUUUACCGAAGGAACGCGGA
rnacentral:ncRNA from 10 species